rnacentral:rRNA from 1 species
GUCCACGCCGUAAACGAUGGGCACUAGGUGUCGCGGGUAUUGACCCCUGCGGUGCCGUAGCUAACGCAUUAAGUGCCCCGCCUGGGGAGUACGGCCGCAAGGCUAAAACUCAAAGGAAUUGACGGGGGCCCGCACAAGCGGUGGAGCAUGUGGUUUAAUUCGACGCAACGCGAAGAACCUUACCUGGGUUUGACAUCCCGAUCGUACUCUAUGGAAACAUAGGGGUCAGUUCGGCUGGAUCGGUGACAGGUGCUGCAUGGCUGUCGU